rnacentral:rRNA from 1 species
GCAAGUCGAACGAACCCUUCGGGGUGAGUGGCGCACGGGUGCGUAACGCGUGGGAACCUGCCCUUAGGUUCGGAAUAACAGCGAGAAAUUGCUGCUAAUACCGGAUAAUGUCUUCGGACCAAAGAUUUAUCGCCUUUGGAUGGGCCCGCGUUGGAUUAGCUAGUUGGUGAGGUAAAGGCUCACCAAGGCGACGAUCCAUAGCUGGUCUUAGAGGAUGAUCAGCCACACUGGGACUGAGACACGGCCCAGACUCCUACGGGAGGCAGCAGUGGGGAAUAUUGGACAAUGGGCGAAAGCCUGAUCCAGCAAUGCCGCGUGAGUGAUGAAGGCCUUAGGGUUGUAAAGCUCUUUUACCAGGGAUGAUAAUG